rnacentral:lncRNA from 1 species
UACCAACUCAUGGCCCCCAUGUCAGUGGCUUUCAACAAAACUUCAAAUAGCAACUAAGCAUUUCAUCACUGAUUGUUGGCAAUUUAUGAGAAAUCCUCUUGCAGGGAUCCAAGUUCACCUGAAUUCCUGCAUAGAUCUCUUCCUAAUGUCUCUGGUGUUUGAACCAUCCAGACUCAUGAGCCCAUCCUCAUCUCAAAACUGGGAUUCCACACCCAAAAGAACAUUUAGAAUAACUGUCCAGGUGAUCUGGAGCAGGGCUGACCUGAGCACUUUCUCCCUGUCUGGCUGGUGCUGAAUGUGGGAAGGGGAGUUAUCUGAGGCUGGAAUCCCUGCAAGGUGCUGAGGCCAUUACUGAAAGUGAGAAAAGGAGGAAUAGUGCAUGAGAGUUGAUACCUCUUAGCAAAAUGAGAGUCCAGGACUGACAGGGGCUGCCCCCUUUAAAUUGAGGCAGAGACCAAUGUGUGAGAAGUCCUCUCAUGCCGGGAAGUACGUAUUUGAAGGUAGCAGGAGGCCUGUGGGACCAUGGCCUCAGAUCACUUCACUCAGGACAAUAGACAUUGUAAUGUUGAAAAAUAAAGCCAGACUUUGUGAUAAGGAUCAGGCAAGGGGUGGGGCAGGGACUGGCUGUGGUCAGCUGGUUUGGCUGUACUGGAUACAGGAACAGGCUGAAGAGUAGGCACCGAAUGGCCAGGCUGGGCAAGGAAGGGGCAGUGGAGACAAACUGUCAUUGAUGGAACAGGCCAUCUAGAGGAAUGGGUGACUGACAGUAGGUGAGAAAACAUGGCCAAAUGGAUCAAGCUACUGCAGAUACUCAAUAUGGCUCCCUUGUGGCCCCAGGAGGUCAAAUGCUAAUAAAAAGUAAUAGCAACAGCUGCCACCAGACCAGUAGUGGUAGUAACAACAGUACUGCUAGUAGUGAUGGUAAAUAGGUAUUGCCUGCUUAUUAUGCUUUUGGCAGCAUGUUACUUGCUUUAUAUGCAUUAGCUCAUUUAAUAGUCAAAUAACCCAUUAUUUUUUACCCAUACGUUUCUUAUUGUUUAUAAGAAACAAGUUCAGAGAGGCCAAGAUACCCGCUCAAAGUACAUGAAGUGGUUACAAUACUAAGAAGCAUAUGAAAAGUUAAGGUUGUAUAUCACAGUCUAGAACAACCAUCACAAAAAAGAAAAA